ACACACACACACACAGAGAUAAUUACUGUCUUUACCAACAAGAUUGACCUACAUCCACAGAUUUAGCCUACACACAAACCGCCAUGCCCAGUGCAGUCGUGUUUGUGAAAUUCAAGACGGGUAGGAGGAGAAGAGACAGAGCAGCUGGCAAAUAGACAGAAAUCAGGAGGAGGAAGAAAAGAAAGAAAGAAAAAGAGGAAACGCCUUUGCGAUGCUGGAAUGUGAAACGCGCAGAGAGAGAUCCAGGGAAGCAGCGAGCCAGCGGCCCACUAACCUGCUUGCACAAGAGGAAGAAAGGACAGUUGGCAUAUCACAACGGCCUGUUAGACAAAUAGGCUACAGCACCUCACUAUUGAGAAGGAUCACAAUGGGUGAGAAUAUGAAACAAUUACAAGUAUCCUUUCUGAACUGAGGAUUGUUCUGCUGGGGUGUAGAUGUACAGGAAAAGAGUUCAGCAGGAAACACCAUCGUGGCAAAGGAGGGAUUUGAUUUAAAGACACACAGAGUGGCAGCGGAGGACCGUCUCGACCUUCUCGGUCUGGGCAUCUGGGGUCACACUGUCGUGUUGUUCACUUGAGGGACCAUCUGGGGGGUAAUAACUAAUGAGCAGCACAGAGAACGCGAAGGGAAGCGUGAAGUGGCUUCUUAAGACAUGUUUCUAAGAAGCAUCAUGUUUUCAGCAGCAAGAAAAAGGAUGAUGUUAAUGUGGUUGCCACGCUCCUAAAGCAGAUAGAAGUGAUGGUGGCUAAAUAAAUGACCAUUAUUCAUUGCUAUUAUUAUGGGAUAGAAGAUGAAUACACUUUACAGAGAGAGAAGGAGAGAAGGAAGGAAGAGCAGUAAAGGGCAGACAAGAGAAGGAGGACGACGCUGGAGCAGAGCAGAAAUUAAGGUGUCAGAUUGGUGAGUCACGACUCUGAAAUGAGGCCUAAACACACCAUACACUGAACAGUGUUUUGUAUGCCUGAGCUUGGAAAACAGGUCUUCUUUGUGUUACGAUCUGUUCUCCUCUAUCCAUGUUGAUACUUCAGUAUGUUUCCGUCAUUCAUGUAAAAAGAUCACUCAAAGUCUAAAUGUACAUUAACAGUUGUUUAUUAUCUUACUACACUUAAUCUCACAGUACUAUAAGAACAUCAGUGUCUGUGGCAUGGCUCAGUAACCUUAAGAGGUACACAGGAAACUAACAGGGGUUCUUAUAGAUUUUUCAGGUGUCAAAUUAAGAGUCCCAUUUGUGCAUUUCCCCACAUACAAUCAGUAUAAUUGAUACAAUAGGAAUCGAAAUAACUACAGAUGAGAACACAUAACUCAACACCUUGUUUAAAUCCAAAUGGAUCCCAGAAGAGUUUCCACAGAGAGGAGAAAUCCCCAAGUACUCUAAAUAGCUAAAUAGUAACAAAGAAGACAUAAAGGUGAGAGAGAGAAAGCUUGAGAGUGUGGCCUCAGGCCAGAGACCAGAUUGACCAUUAGGCUCAAUGUGUUUCAACAGGUGACAAUGCAUCUCUCUCAGGGUUCCUGUUUCUCAAUGUGUGGUUUUACUCACUAGCCAAAAGCAUGCCUUCUAUGUUGUGUACUGUUGUAGCACUUCUUUGUUUACUACACAUUUUAAUGUCCUUGUACUUUGUAUCGGAAGUGUAAGUGGAAAUUGAUCAGUCCAAACCCCCACUGAUAAUUUGACCUUGAUCGAUGGCACACAUUUGAUAUCACAUCAAAUUUGAGGAUUGUGCUACUGAGGAAGAGCUUAGCCCGGGAAACAUCCUCCUGGAAACAGAGGCGUUUGUUUUGAAGAGAAGCGCUCAGUGUGUGACGGGCGGAAAGAGACGUGUCAGGGAGGCAUGUGAUGAAUGCAGAGGCCCCUGGCAGGUGGAGGAACUUCUGUGUGGAUCACAAUGACCAGAGCACCAUUCAUAUUCAUACAUAGCCCUGGGAUCAUAGAGCACAAUGCAGGGUUAAACAAACGGGAGGCUGUGAGGAGCACAUCCAUGUGUUCUCCAGGGCCUUAUUGAACUGCUCCUGAUCUGGACUGGACUCGAUCAUCAGUUCACUGAAACACUCGGAACAGUGCUGAAAGGAGCACUAUUACUAUAGACGCAACUGCUGAGGAGCACAUUGAGAGUGAAGGCUUGGCUCUUCAAUGGGUGACUGAUAAAUGCGGGAACAGGUAUUAUGUUGUCGACAAUCCGGACAGUGGAAACGAUCCUCAAGUCACAGAGCUGCUGGAGAAAAUAGGGGACAUGGUAGUGGGACUCAAUGGCUGUAGAGAUGAAAUGAUGGAACAGAUCAGGAAGGCAGCACUGAAGCCAGAGAGUGCCAGACCACUACAAACUAAGCAAAGGAGAAAGCAGAGGAUUAAAAAGAAAGAACACAGAAAAUGUGCUUGACAAAGAAAAGGUUAAAGUAAAGCCAAGUCCCCAUAGAAUAAUACAGAUAAUUGGCCCAUCUUUGUUGAUUAUGGUAUUUAGUGAUUUGUUAUGUAUUGUGCUAUGAUAAAGAGAACUAGGAAGUUUAGACAUCACAGUAAUGGUCAUUAAUUGUCUCUGACAUUCCAGCAAGUGCAUGAAAUGUUAACCUUAGCUCGCACUUGCAUGGAAUGUGCAAAACGAUAUGCCUUCUCUCCAAUUAAUCAAACAUGACACAAAGUGUGGUGUGAUGAUCGAUGACCUGAAUUAUCCCAGUUAAUAAAAUUCCCUCUUCCUGUGUAGCUAAUAAUCCAAUACUCAAGGAGGUGAGGGGGGUGUUGCCUGGUCACCCCUUCAGUGGGGAGACCUUAGCCGUGAACACCACCCUGGACAGAGAGGUUUAGGACACGUGUCAAACGACACCUUGUUAUAUGAAGGGACAAGGAUGCGCAGCAUGGUAGCACCACUCUGGUUGACACUGCAGGCCGGUGGAGUAGUAACCUGCCCUCAAACACUAUGAAUGCUGUCAGAAGGAGACGGUGCCACAGGUACCACACUCUCAACAACAUGGACAGGGGUAACUAUGGGAACAGGUACCACACUCUCAACCGCAUGGACAGGGGAAACUGUGGGAACAGGUACCACACUCUCAACCGCAUGGACAGGGGAAACUGUGGGAACAGGUACCACACUCUCAACCGCAUGGACAGGGGAAACUGUGGGAACAGGUACCACACUCUCAACCGCAUGGACAGGGGAAACGCUACCCAUGUGACAGAGCUGCUAGAGGAGAUAGAAACCAUGGUGACGGCAAACCGCGGCUGCCAUGAUGUCACCGAGACAGCCAGAUUCUGCAGAUGAUGGAGGAAAGAAAGUGUAAUGGGGGAUGUGAGGUUUAUAGCAAAUCUACUAAUCUUACAUUUUCUUUUUUUCAUAUGUAUAACCUAUUGCAUUUGCAAUUGCUCCUACUGCAAUGAUGUCACUGAGACUGCCAGAUUCUGCAGAUGAUGGAGGAAAGAAAGUGUAAUGCGGGAUGUGAGGUUUAAUUCAAAGAGCCUCUGCUCCCAAAACUAAAGAAGAAGACAGCUGGUGAGGACCAGGACGUACCACGGAUCGUCAAUGAGGGACUGGAAUCUGUGCUAAAUAAGGUCAUGAUAGACAGGGGACAGUGAAAAGUGCAGAGGAUCACAGGAUGGACUUUGGCCCACCAAAUAGUGAGUUAAU